rnacentral:lncRNA from 1 species
AGGGCAAAUCUCAAAGUGAUCACACUGUCACAAUACCCAAAAGAACCUCAAACAUUUAAAAUUUGAACUGGGUUUGAGCAUGCACAUGGCAAGCAAAGAUGUCUUCUAGCUAUCAUGAAUAAAAUAUGAAUUUUACAAUGAAUGUAGAUAAAAAAAAGUUACAAAUAACUGUAUUGACAUUGAAAAGUGCAGUGUAUUCUUCUGAUGACAUGACUCUUGGAUUUAGGAAGAUUGAUGUUUUAACACAUAUUUCUGGAAACAUCUUUUGGUAAGUACAUUGGAUUAGAUUUGAUUUCCACCAUUUUGAAUAAGUGUAUAAUUAUGCUCUUUUAG